rnacentral:misc_RNA from 1 species
GAAAUGCGAUAAGUAAUGUGAAUUGCAGAAUUCCGUGAAUCAUCGAAUCUUUGAACGCACAUUGCGCCCUCUGGUAUUCCGGGGGGCAUGCCUGUCCGAGCGUCAUUGCGAACCCCUCAAGCACGGCUUGUGUGAUGGGCCCUCCCGCGUCUUGGUCGUCAAGACGGGCCCGAAAUGUAGUGGCGGCUUCGCGGUUAUCCGAUCAGCCAGAGCGUAUGGGGACUUUCUCUCUGUCACACGCCCGCGGCGCGGACCGACGCCUGUCGACCUUCAUUCAUCGUUUUCUCGGUUGACCUCGGAUCAGGUAGGGAUACCCGCUGAACUUAAGC